CCUACGGGAGGCAGCAGUGAGGAAUAUUGGUCAAUGGACGAGAGUCUGAACCAGCCAAGUAGCGUGAAGGAUGACUGCCCUAUGGGUUGUAAACUUCUUUUAUAUGGGAAUAAAAUGAGCCACGCGUGCCCUUUUGUAUGUACCCUAUGAAUAAGGAUCGGCUAACUCCGUGCCAGCAGCCGCGGUAAUACGGAGGAUCCGGGCGUUAUCCGGAUUUAUUGGGUUUAAAGGGAGCGUAGGUGGAUUGUUAAGUCAGUUGUGAAAGUUUGCGGCUCAACCGUAAAAUUGCAGUUGAAACUGGCAGUCUGGAGUACAGUAGAGGUGGGCGGAAUUCGUGGUGUAGCGGUGAAAUGCUUAGAUAUCACGAAGAACUCCGAUUGCGAAGGCAGUUCACUGGACUGCAACUGACACUGAGGCUCGAAAGUGUGGGUAUCAAACAGGAUUAGAUACCCGAGUAGUC
rnacentral:rRNA from 1 species